GAGUCAUCACCACCGCCAAUUCCACAGCGAAAAUCGUCGGCUCCAGCUCCGACAGCAGCUGCUCCUCCAGCCACAAAAGAGCCCACGGACCCGAAAAAAGCUGCAAUCUACCGUAUCCUUCACCAUCGACGUGAUCUACACAAGCAGAAUGCGCGCGCGGCGAUUGCUGACAAGGAUAAAGAAUCUGCAAAGGAAUCUGUAGAAAUGGCGAAGGCUUUUGAUCAG
rnacentral:sRNA from 1 species